AAAAAAAAUUUUUAUAGUUUUGAUAUUUUAUUUUAAAUAUAAUUUACAUAUAAAUUUUAGUGUUAAAUUUUAUUUAUUUUAAUAAUGAAUAAAAUUAUUAAGUAGUAAUUAACUUUAAAUUAUUUAAGAAAUUAAGAUUUAGUAAUUUG
rnacentral:rRNA from 1 species